GCGCCUGUACCUCAAUUGGAUAGAGGAACGGUCUACGGAACCGUUUGCUGAGCGUUCGAGUCGCUCCAGGCGCACCU
rnacentral:tRNA from 1 species